CUCAAAAUCUCAACAAGAUUUUCUAUGAAAUCUCUAUAGAUCUACAUACGCAGAACUAAGGGGAAACACAUUAGACAAUAUCCACACAUUCCACCAUAAAUACUCCUUUCCUUCUAUCUGUUUAUACAUCAGAUACACACCACAAAGAAUAGGUCUCUCUCCACUCUCUCGAUCUAUGCAUACACAACAUUACACACACAAACAUAACCCAAAUCAAACACAGGUCCCUCACAAAUAAAAAUUACUGUUGCUCCAUCUCCUACAAUUCUAAGAGAAACCUUUCUUCUCCACAAAACCAAACACAACCCACCUGCAACACCCACACACCCACACACUCCCUCGUAACACCCCCCCAGGUCACCUGUGCUACUCUGACGACGGAGAGCCGUCGUCGUACGGCGGUGUGGGGCUUCUGUUGCGGCGGCGAAGGAAGAGGGACGGGAUAGAGAGAGAGAGAGGUUGAAGAGAGAUAGAGACUCGAUACGGUGGUCGGUUCGUUUAACCGACGGUCGGUUCAUUGAACCGGUGAUCCUUGUUCUUGACCGACGAUUAUUCCGUUGAUGAUUGCUGAGAUGCCAACCCCCGCCCCCUCUGUUACAGAUCUGAGCGGCGGAUGACGGCGACGAGCGGGUGAAGAUGGCGGCGAUGUGGUAGUGGUUGGCUUGGCUAGGGUGCGACGGCUACAACAGAGAGAGAGAGAGAAGAGUCAAAGAGGGAGAGGGAGACAACAGUGGCCGGAGCCGUCUCCGACGACGGCGAUACUUCAGCCGACGACCACCUUCACUCUCUGACAAGUAUUAUGUAGAGUGGAGGUGGUUAUUCAAUUCCAUUCAUGUCGGGUGUUUGUUUCAGCUCAACGGCGGAGUGUUCGGUUCGGGUCAAAUCUAGUCAACAGCUCGGUCAACAGUCAAACUUGGUCAAACCUGCUCAAAGUCAGGUUUGACUAGAUUCGUGUCAACAGAAGUCAAUGGUCCAUCUCGGUUCGGGUUUCAGAUUCGCUGUCGAUCGCGGUUCGGUCCGCGCAUCGGGUUCAAGUCAAACCUGGUCAACUCAGUCAAACCCAGUUGACUGAGUCAACCUAGUCAACCGUUUCAGCAAACAAAGCGAGAGUCUUGGUAAUAGAUUAAACAAGUGAUUUCAUUUCGUGUUAUAUAGUUUUAAUGUCGCACGUGAAAACGAGCCCUCGAACCAGACAAAUCGAUGACUUAUUAGUUAAAAUUUACUCGGAAUUGCUUAUUGUCGUGUUGAUAUAAAUUGAUUAUAUGCAUAUACCUUGUUGCAAA